GACCCGUAGCCGUUCGCUGAAAAGGACGAGAUUUUGUCCUUUUUUCAGAAAGAUCGGAAUGUCGGUCGGCGACAGGGAGUCCGGGGUUCGAGUCCCCGACGGGUCACCA
rnacentral:tRNA from 1 species